AUUGGAAGAUUGGCUUAUCGUUUAGAUUUGCCAAAUAACUUGGGAAAGGUGCAUAAUGUGUUCCAUGUAUCCCAACUAAAGAGAUAUGUGCCCGAUAAGUCUCACGUAUUAGAUCCCGAGAUUAUAGAAGUGGAUGAGACGCUUUCUUUUGAAGAGAGACCAGUAAAGAUCUUGGACUCUAAGGUGAGGAGUACAAGAAAUAAAGAUAUAAAGAUACUCAAGGUUUUGUGGUCUAACCAGCGUACCGAAGAGGCUACCUGGGAGGCUGAAGACGAGAUGAGAAAGAAGUAUCCUGAGCUCUUCGACUAGGUGAGUUGAGUUCCGGGACGUAACUCCUUUAAGGGGGUAGAGUGCGUGCGCGCAUUUUGCUAGAAAUUAGUAAGAAUUUGUUGCAUUUGUGCACUAUUUUUAGAGUUUUCAAGGAAAACUUUUCAAACAAAGUAAGCAUUUCAUAGUCUGAACAUUCAAGGCAAAAGUUUUAUUAAGUAGCGUAUUAUUUGGCUACUUGUUUUAUUCAGUAGCGUAUUAUUUGGCUACUUGUUUUACUUAGUAGCGUAUUAUUUGGCUACUUCUUAAGAAACAAUUAUAUUAGGGCGUAAUGCUCAUAAGUUUUCAAAGUUGAAAGUUUAAUAAGAGAGGAGGUUUUGUUUAAGUUUCGGGACGAAACUUCUUUUAAGGGGGGUAGACUGUAAUCCCCCAUAUUUUUAAGAUAUUUAAUUAAAUAGUUUUAAUCAUUUUUAAUUAUUAAAGCUAUUUAAUUUCGGUAUUUAAGAGCAGAAGGGUAUUUUUGGUCAUUUUACCAAAAUAGUAUUUGAGUAUUUCCACAAAGAAGUAUUUUAGUAUUUUCAAGGAAAUAUUUUAUUAAUAUUAGUAGGAAGAUUAUUUUGGAAAUUUAUCAUCAAAUGUAUUUUGGCAAUUUGAUGAGUAAGGGCAUUUUGGUCUUUUACCCAAAUUGACUACCACUAUAAAAAGAGAAAACCUAAAGUUUCCCAUCUUUUUCCAUCUUCUUCACUAGCCACCAUUUUGUCAAAAAGGAGAAGAUCUUGCAAUUAUCAAAGGGAAGCAAAGAGGUUUCAAGAAUAAUUAAAGCCAGUCAAACUUUGACUGUUGAUUUUUGUGUAAUCAAGAGUUUAGAGAAGAAGUUGCAGGUACAAGUUCUUGAUGUGCAUGGAAAUCAUAAGCAUCCGGAUGGGAGUUUUAGUACACGAGUACUUUCUUAUUUAAGUUAUCUUGAAUUUUAUAUUUGACUUUACUUGACCAAUGGGGUCAAGGUUUGACUUUUGAAUAUGGGACUAGUAUGGGAUAGUCUCGGAGUUUGUAAUUCAUUUACAUACUUUCUUAUUUCUAUUGUAUUAAAGUAUUUCCAGUUUAUUUUAAAAGACUUCCGCUGUAUUA